GUAGGUGGCGAGCGUUAUCCGGAUUUAUUGGGCGUAAAGAGGGCGCAGGCGGCUUUUCAAGUCGAAUGUAAAAUCUCCCGGCUUAACUGGGAGGGACCAUGCGAUACUGUUGAGCUAGAGGGCAACAGGGGGAGGUAGAAUUCCCGGUGUAGUGGUGAAAUGCGUAGAUAUCGGGAGGAAUACCAGUGGCGAAGGCGGCCUCCUAGGUUGUUACUGACGCUUAUGCCCGAAGGCGUGGGGAGCAAACAGGAUUAGAUACCCUGGUAGUCCACGCUGUAAACGAUGGACACUAGGUAUAGGGAGUAUCGACCCCUCUCUGUGCCGAAGCUAACGCGUUAAGUGUCCCGCCUGGGGGACUACGGCCGCAAGGCUA
rnacentral:rRNA from 1 species